rnacentral:rRNA from 1 species
GAUGAACGCUGGCGGCGUGCCUAAUACAUGCAAGUCGAGCGAACAGACGAGAGUGCUUGCACUCUCUGACGUUAGCGGCGGACGGGUGAGUAACACGUGGGUAACCUACCUAUAAGACUGGGAUAACUUCGGGAAACCGGAGCUAAUACCGGAUAAUAUUUAGCUUCGCAUGAAGCAAUAGUGAAAGACGGUUCUGCUGUCACUUAUAGAUGGACCCGCGGUGUAUUAGCUAGUUGGUGAGGUAACGGCUCACCAAGGCAACGAUACAUAGCCGACCUGAGAGGGUGAUCGGCCACACUGGGACUGAGACACGGCCCAGACUCCUACGGGAGGCAGCAGUAGGGAAUCUUCCGCAAUGGACGAAAGUCUGACGGAGCAAUGCCGCGUGAGUGAAGAAGGUUUACGGAUCGUAAAACUCUGUUGUAAGGGAAGAACAAGUACGUUAGUAACUGAACGUACCUUGACGGUACCUUACCAGAAAGCCACGGCUAACUACGUG